rnacentral:rRNA from 1 species
GUCCAGACUCCUACGGGAGGCAGCAGUGGGGGAUAUUGCACAAUGGGGGAAACCCUGAUGCAGCGACGCCGCGUGGGUGAAGAAGCGCCUCGGCGCGUAAAGCCCUGUCAGCAGGGAAGAAAAUGACGGUACCUGAAGAAGAAGCCCCGGCUAACUACGUGCCAGCAGCCGCGGUAAUACGUAGGGGGCAAGCGUUAUCCGGAUUUACUGGGUGUAAAGGGAGCGUAGACGGCGAUGCAAGCCAGAUGUGAAAGCCCGGGGCUCAACCCCGGGACUGCAUUUGGAACUGUAUAGCUAGAGUGUCGGAGAGGCAGGCGGAAUUCCUAGUGUAGCGGUGAAAUGCGUAGAUAUUAGGAGGAACACCAGUGGCGAAGGCGACUAUCUGGCACAUAACUGACGCUGAGGAGCGAAAGCGUGGGUAGCAAACAGGAUUAGAUACCCUCGUAU